AUGAGGAUCACUCAGCUGUGUUUUGGACACAUGUUUCCUUUAAUGGCAGCACUGCUCCUGCUUUUGUUGAGUGGAGUCAGAUGUGAAGAGCUCACUGCUCUAAAGCCUGAGGUCUGCGCUUCAGAAGGCUCCUCUGUCUCUCUGGGAUACUCUUAUGAGAAAGAACCAGAAUAUGAUGAGUAUUUCUACUGGUAUCGACAAUAUCCUGGAAAACCUCCUAAACUGUUCUUCUCUCACACUGGAAAUGGAAAUGUAUUGUUAAAUUCAAACCCUCGGUUUUCUCUAAAUAUCAGCAAAGACAGCAGACAUCUCCAUGUGCUGGUGUCGUCUGCUGCAGUGGGAGACUCUGCUGUGUACUACUGUGCUGUGAGGCCCACAGUGACAGCAAACCCACAGUCUCUGAACAAAAACCUGUGA